rnacentral:rRNA from 1 species
GGGUUGUGAGGUUAAGCGACUAAGCGUACACGGUGGAUGCCCUGGCAGUCAGAGGCGAUGAAGGACGUGCUAAUCUGCGAUAAGCGUCGGUAAGGUGAUAUGAACCGUUAUAACCGGCGAUUUCCGAAUGGGGAAACCCAGUGUGUUUCGACACACUAUCAUUAACUGAAUCCAUAGGUUAAUGAGGCGAACCGGGGGAACUGAAACAUCUAAGUACCCCGAGGAAAAGAAAUCAACCGAGAUUCCCCCAGUAGCGGCGAGCGAACGGGGAGCAGCCCAGAGCCUGAAUCAGUGUGUGUGUUAGUGGAAGCGUCUGGAAAGGCGCGCGAUACAGGGUGACAGCCCCGUACACAAAAAUGCACAUAUUGUGAGCUCGAUGAGUAGGGCGGGACACGUGGUAUCCUGUCUGAAUAUGGGGGGACCAUCCUCCAAGGCUAAAUACUCCUGACUGACCGAUAGUGAACCAGUACCGUGAGGGAAAGGCGAAAAGAACCCCGGCGAGGGGAGUGAAAAAGAACCUGAAACCGUGUACGUACAAGCAGUGGGAGCACGCUUCGGCGUGUGACUGCGUACCUUUUGUAUAAUGGGUCAGCGACUUAUAUUCUGUAGCAAGGUUAACCGAAUAGGGGAGCCGAAGGGAAACCGAGUCUUAACUGGGCGUUAAGUUGCAGGGUAUAGACCCGAAACCCGGUGAUCUAGCCAUGGGCAGGUUGAAGGUUGGGUAACACUAACUGGAGGACCGAACCGACUAAUGUUGAAAAAUUAGCGGAUGACUUGUGGCUGGGGGUGAAAGGCCAAUCAAACCGGGAGAUAGCUGGUUCUCCCCGAAAGCUAUUUAGGUAGCGCCUCGUGAAUUCAUCUCCGGGGGUAGAGCACUGUUUCGGCAAGGGGGUCAUCCCGACUUACCAACCCGAUGCAAACUGCGAAUACCGGAGAAUGUUAUCACGGGAGACACACGGCGGGUGCUAACGUCCGUCGUGAAGAGGGAAACAACCCAGACCGCCAGCUAAGGUCCCAAAGUCAUGGUUAAGUGGGAAACGAUGUGGGAAGGCCCAGACAGCCAGGAUGUUGGCUUAGAAGCAGCCAUCAUUUAAAGAAAGCGUAAUAGCUCACUGGUCGAGUCGGCCUGCGCGGAAGAUGUAACGGGGCUAAACCAUGCACCGAAGCUGCGGCAGCGACACUAUGUGUUGUUGGGUAGGGGAGCGUUCUGUAAGCCUGUGAAGGUGUACUGUGAGGUAUGCUGGAGGUAUCAGAAGUGCGAAUGCUGACAUAAGUAACGAUAAAGCGGGUGAAAAGCCCGCUCGCCGGAAGACCAAGGGUUCCUGUCCAACGUUAAUCGGGGCAGGGUGAGUCGACCCCUAAGGCGAGGCCGAAAGGCGUAGUCGAUGGGAAACAGGUUAAUAUUCCUGUACUUGGUGUUACUGCGAAGGGGGGACGGAGAAGGCUAUGUUGGCCGGGCGACGGUUGUCCCGGUUUAAGCGUGUAGGCUGGUUUUCCAGGCAAAUCCGGAAAAUCAAGGCUGAGGCGUGAUGACGAGGCACUACGGUGCUGAAGCAACAAAUGCCCUGCUUCCAGGAAAAGCCUCUAAGCAUCAGGUAACAUCAAAUCGUACCCCAAACCGACACAGGUGGUCAGGUAGAGAAUACCAAGGCGCUUGAGAGAACUCGGGUGAAGGAACUAGGCAAAAUGGUGCCGUAACUUCGGGAGAAGGCACGCUGAUAUGUAGGUGAAGCGACUUGCUCGUGGAGCUGAAAUCAGUCGAAGAUACCAGCUGGCUGCAACUGUUUAUUAAAAACACAGCACUGUGCAAACACGAAAGUGGACGUAUACGGUGUGACGCCUGCCCGGUGCCGGAAGGUUAAUUGAUGGGGUCAGCGCAAGCGAAGCUCUUGAUCGAAGCCCCGGUAAACGGCGGCCGUAACUAUAACGGUCCUAAGGUAGCGAAAUUCCUUGUCGGGUAAGUUCCGACCUGCACGAAUGGCGUAAUGAUGGCCAGGCUGUCUCCACCCGAGACUCAGUGAAAUUGAACUCGCUGUGAAGAUGCAGUGUACCCGCGGCAAGACGGAAAGACCCCGUGAACCUUUACUAUAGCUUGACACUGAACAUUGAGCCUUGAUGUGUAGGAUAGGUGGGAGGCUUAGAAGUGUGGACGCCAGUCUGCAUGGAGCCGACCUUGAAAUACCACCCUUUAAUGUUUGAUGUUCUAACGUUGACCCGUGAUCCGGGUUGCGGACAGUGUCUGGUGGGUAGUUUGACUGGGGCGGUCUCCUCCUAAAGAGUAACGGAGGAGCACGAAGGUUGGCUAAUCCUGGUCGGACAUCAGGAGGUUAGUGCAAUGGCAUAAGCCAGCUUGACUGCGAGCGUGACGGCGCGAGCAGGUGCGAAAGCAGGUCAUAGUGAUCCGGUGGUUCUGAAUGGAAGGGCCAUCGCUCAACGGAUAAAAGGUACUCCGGGGAUAACAGGCUGAUACCGCCCAAGAGUUCAUAUCGACGGCGGUGUUUGGCACCUCGAUGUCGGCUCAUCACAUCCUGGGGCUGAAGUAGGUCCCAAGGGUAUGGCUGUUCGCCAUUUAAAGUGGUACGCGAGCUGGGUUUAGAACGUCGUGAGACAGUUCGGUCCCUAUCUGCCGUGGGCGCUGGAGAACUGAGGGGGGCUGCUCCUAGUACGAGAGGACCGGAGUGGACGCAUCACUGGUGUUCGGGUUGUCAUGCCAAUGGCACUGCCCGGUAGCUAAAUGCGGAAGAGAUAAGUGCUGAAAGCAUCUAAGCACGAAACUUGCCCCGAGAUGAGUUCUCCCUGACUCCUUGAGAGUCCUGAAGGAACGUUGAAGACGACGACGUUGAUAGGCCGGGUGUGUAAGCGCAGCGAUGCGUUGAGCUAACCGGUACUAAUGAACCGUGAGGCUUAACCUUACAAC